GAUGAACGCUAGCGGCAGGCCUAACACAUGCAAGUCGAGGGGCAGCACAAGGUAGCAAUACUGAGGUGGCGACCGGCGCACGGGUGAGUAACGCGUAUGCAACCUACCCUAUACUGGGGGAUAGCUCAAAGAAAUUUGAAUUAAACCCGCAUAAAGCAGGGGUACCGCAUGGUACUAUUUGCUAAAAACUCCGGUGGUAUAGGAUGGGCAUGCGUGUCAUUAGCUAGUUGGUGAGGUAACGGCUCACCAAGGCUACGAUGACUAGGGGGUCUGAGAGGAUGAUCCCCCACACUGGUACUGAGACACGGACCAGACUCCUACGGGAGGCAGCAGUGAGGAAUAUUGGUCAAUGGGGGCAACCCUGAACCAGCCAUGCCGCGUGAAG
rnacentral:rRNA from 1 species